GCUGAGAUAGCCAAGGUGGUCAAGGCACCUGUCUGAAGAACAGGCUAUGUGUGUUCGACUCACACUCUCAGCACAA
rnacentral:tRNA from 3 species